rnacentral:rRNA from 1 species
UCCAGACUCCUACGGGAGGCAGCAGUGGGGAAUAUUGCACAAUGGGGGGAACCCUGAUGCAGCGACGCCGCGUGGGUGAAGGAGUACUUCGGUACGUAAAGCCCUGUCAGCAGGGAAGAAAAUGACGGUACCUGAAGAAGAAGCCCCGGCUAACUACGUGCCAGCAGCCGCGGUAAUACGUAGGGGGCAAGCGUUAUCCGGAUUUACUGGGUGUAAAGGGGGCGCAGACGGCGAUGCAAGCCAGGAGUGAAAGCCCGGGGCCCAACCCCGGGACUGCUCUGGAAACUGUAAAGCUGGAGUGCGGGAGGGGCAGGCGGAAUUCCUGGUGUAGCGGUGAAAUGCGUAGAUAUCAGGAGGAACACCGGCGGCGAAGGCGGCCUGCUGGACCGUAACUGACGUUGAGGCUCGAAAGCGUGGGGAGCAAACAGGAUUAGAUACCCUGGUAC